UAGAAAACAACCUUUAGCCUGUGGUGCACA
rnacentral:piRNA from 1 species